UACGUAGGGAGCAAGCGUUGUCCGGAAUCAUUGGGCGUAAAGCGCGCGUAGGUGGCUUCGUAAGUCCGUUGUGAAAGUCAAAGGCUCAACCUUUGAAAGCCGAUGGAUACUGCGGAGCUAGAGUACGGAAGAGGCGAGUGGAAUUCCUGGUGUAGCGGUGGAAUGCGCAGAUAUCAGGAGGAACACCAAUAGCGAAGGCAGCUCGCUGGGACGUUACUGACACUGAGGCGCGAAGGCGUGGGGAGCGAACAGG
rnacentral:rRNA from 1 species